GACGAGGGGUCCAAGCGUUGUUCGGAAUUAUUGGGCGUAAAGCGGGUGUAGGUGGCUCUAUAAGUCAGGAGUGAAAGCCCCGAGCUUAACUUGGGAAGUGCUUUUGAUACUGUAAAGCUUGAAUGUGGGAGAGGAUCGUGGAAUUCCAGGUGUAGUGGUGAAAUACGUAGAUAUCUGGAGGAACACCGGUGGCGAAAGCGGCUCACUGGACCACAACUGACGCUGAGGCGCGAAAGCUAGGGGAGCAAACAGG
rnacentral:rRNA from 1 species